rnacentral:lncRNA from 1 species
AUUGAACCCUAACUCUAACGCUUUCACUCUCGUCCUUCUCUCUGCCUCACACUCACACUCACACUCAGUCUAACUCUAACGCUUUCGCUCUCUGCCUCACACAAACCCUAGCAAUGUCUGCCUCACACAAACCCUAGCAAUGUCUUCCUCACACGAACCCUAGUGCUCGCUGCUUCCACACGAACCUAGCGCUCUCUGCCUCACACGAACCCUAGCGUUUGCUGCUUCCACACGAACCCUAGCGAUGUCUGCCUCACACGAACCCUAGCACUCUCUGCCUCCAUACGAACCCUAACGCUCUCUGCCUCACAAAACCCUACUCUCUCUGCCUCUCUCUGCCUCUACACGGAACCGAUUUGAAGGUAAUUAAAUGCUCGCACGUUCUCUUAUCAAUGCCGACCAUCGGUUUGUUUGAUGUUUAGGAUUUGUCAUGUGAUUCUAUUUGUUUAUUUCAUUAUGUGUUUCAUCUUUUUACUAGGUAGCUAAAGAGCAAUUGAAGCAAGUUAUCACAGAGGCGGCAGGGGAGAAAUAGCAAGGUAUAAUUUCUCAAAAUGACUAAUUAUGAUAAUGAUAUGCCUUGUUCUGUUCUGAGUCAUGAUUUGGCAUCUAAGCAUCUUCGGAAACAUACCUAGACAAUGUGGAUUUUAAAAUUUGAAAGUUACUUUAACCCUAGAGCUUUGUUUACCUCACAAGACGUUGAAUUUAAAAUUUGAAAGUUCCUCACAAGGCAGGGCUGUAAUGAUGUGCUUUCAAAUGAGUUGUACUGCAUGAAAUAUUGCAAGGCCAAAGGGGUAAAAGCAACAUGUGACUGGGUUUUUUUUUUAUGCUUUGUCACUGUAUUCAUAAGCAGACACUAUUGUUGACUGGAAGGUUGGAUAGAAGAAAAAACUAAGUCUCAAAUUGCAGGAGUUAGUGUUCAAUUAGCGGCAAAAUAGAGAAUAAUGGGAAAAGGCAGGAAGAGAAAGAAAAAUUAUUUUUUGGGUUUCAACUAUAGGAUGGUGACAGCUAAGUGACUAACAAUGGUCUUUCUUUGGUAACAUGCUACAAGUUGUAAAUUGAUGGAAAAUAAGAAGAACAGAAAUAAUACAUACAGAUAAUACUUUCAUAUACAAAGAAAGUAUUUGUUAUAAUAGUAUAAUAAAAAAAUAGGAUACACUAGGUUUGUGGUGGUGAAUAAAGCUUAAUUGACUCUCGGGAUUUGGCUUGUGUUCAUUGUUGUUAAAGCAUGAAUUGUGUCUUGUACGGAUAUAGAUAUAGCUAAUGCCAUUCACAUACUAAAAAAUUAGUAAGUAACUAGUACUAGCAAAAUCUAAUAACAUUACUAAAAGACUCAUAAAACUGUAAGAAUAAUAAUUAUAUUUUAAAAUGAAGUUAUUUUUUAAUUUUGUUGGGGUUUCUUUUUUCAUUACUUUUUGUCUUCACUUGGGAAUAAAGUGACUGGGGUGCUUAUUGCACCUGGAUAGGGCACUUGGAAGUAGUAAGUGCCUACCUAUUUGGAAGUAGUAAGUGCCUUCAAACCCCUCACCUAUUUGUUGCACUGAUCACCAUUUUGAUUAAUGAUUGCCUUGAUUUGAAUUGAUCUGCUAGUACAUGCUUGCAGCAAUUGAUUAUUAAAACACUGUCUAAAUAUUUUAGAGACUAGUUUGCUAGUGAUAUCUUUUUAAGUUCAGCAUCUUUUCCCUCUACAGGUUUUCUUUCAUUGGCUAGAAUUUUUUUUCUGUUGGUUUUGUUUUUGGUUUUUAGUUUCAAUCCCUUGGAUUAUAAAUUAUUGAUGUCUGUAUAGCUAGGUAAAGCAUGAAAUAAACAACCCUUCAACUCUCAUAAUUGCUUAGCUGCUCCUUUUCUCUUUACUUUAUUGAUCAUAUUAUCUGUUCCAUCCCCUGUGCACUGGUUCCUUUUGCAGAUAACUGGUGAAACAGUGGGAGAAGUAAAGGCUAUAGCUAAUAUUAAGUUGGUUGCUGAGAUUUGGAGCCAUGAUUUUGGGAGAAUACAAUGCAUCAAAGGAAGGCAGAGAUGGCCAAGCAUUCAGAUGCCUUUAUCGCCUUACCAGGUUAGCAUGAACUAAUAUUGUAAGUUUUUUUAAGGCAAAGAUAUUUUAAAUUCCUUUUUUAGAUAAAAACAUGACCAAUUGUUCAACCUCUACAAGUG